rnacentral:tRNA from 1 species
AGCUCUGCAGUAUAAGCAUACAUAGGAUUGCAAAUUCUGAAAAGGAGGAUAAGAUCCUCCCGGGGCUU